rnacentral:rRNA from 1 species
CCGGUUGGGACUGCGGAUGACAUUG